rnacentral:sRNA from 1 species
GGUUUAUACCCAGUUAACCAGGUUAGCAUUAACUUCAGCCUGUCGUAAGACUGCGUUGAAUAAAUAAUUUUUGGAAAAGCUUCCUCGGGGUUAUCCGUAGAAGCGAU